CUUAACAGGUCCUACCCAGUUGAUAAAAAAAAAACUAGGAUACCUUAAACUGCCAUGGAUGAUCUGAAACAAACUGGGUUAGCCUCUGAAUUCAAGAUCUCACAGCCCAGAAAUAAGAGCAUUAAUUGUCUGCAACAUUAACGGGGCUUUACCCUGAUUGUUAAAAGAAAAAGUGAACCAGGAGAUCUAAACAGCCAUGGAAUAGAUAUAUCCAGUGAGUUGAUCAAAUACAGAGCAGAGACAAACUUAGUUAGCUUCUGUAUUAAAGAUCUCACAACCAAAAAAUAAGAUCAUUAAUGGAGUCUGCAACAAGAUCUGCGCUAUAGUAGCAUGAAGAAGAUUCAACGAACAUGGAAUGCUUACAGUGUUGAGGGGUAACUGAGCUUGUGUAUGAUG
rnacentral:lncRNA from 1 species